AGUGAACGCUGGCGGUAGGCCUAACACAUGCAAGUCGAACGGCAGCACAGUAAGAGCUUGCUCUUACGGGUGGCGAGUGGCGGACGGGUGAGGAAUACAUCGGAAUCUACUUUUUCGUGGGGGAUAACGUAGGGAAACUUACGAUAAUACCGCAUACGACCUACGGGGGAAAGCAGGGGAUCUUCGGACCUUGCGCGAUUGGAUGAGCGGAUGUGGGAUUAGCUUGUUGGGGGGGUGAAGGCCCACCAAGGCGACGAUCGGUAGCUGGCCUGGGAGGAUGGCCGGCCACGUUGGGACUGGGAAGCGGCCCAGACUCGUACGGGGGGCAGCAGUGGGGAAUAGUGCACAAUGGGCGGAAGCCUGAUGCAGCAACGCCGCGUGCGGGAUGACGGCCUUCGGGUUGUAAACCGCUUUCGCCUGUGACGAAGCGUGAGUGACGGUAAUGGGUAAAGAAGCACCGGCUAACUACGUG
rnacentral:rRNA from 1 species